AACGAACGCUGGCGGCAUGCCUAACACAUGCAAGUCGAACGAGACCUUCGGGUCUAGUGGCGCACGGGUGCGUAACGCGUGGGAACCUGCCCUUAGGUUCGGAAUAACUCCCCGAAAGGGGUGCUAAUACCGGAUAAUGUCUUCGGACCAAAGAUUUAUCGCCUUUGGAUGGGCCCGCGUUGGAUUAGCUAGUUGGUAGGGUAAAAGCCUACCAAGGCGACGAUCCAUAGCUGGUCUGAGAGGAUGAUCAGCCACACUGGGACUGAGACACGGCCCAGACUCCUACGGGAGGCAGCAGUGGGGAAUAUUGGACAAUGGGGGAAAGCCUGAUCCAGCAAUGACGCGUGAGUGAUGAAGGCAUUAGGGUUGUAAAGCUCUUUUAACCGGGAUGAUAAUGACAGUACCGGGAGAAUAAGCUCCGGCUAACUCCGUG
rnacentral:rRNA from 1 species